GUGUUUCUGCUGUGUGAGCUAGUAAUGGCAUCCACCCGCCUUUUCUCCUUAACACAGUUCUAUAAUUAAUGCAUGUUUCUUUGAUUCCACAUUUAUAUUUAACAGAAUUUAAAAGGUACAAAACGCGUUUUAAAGACGCUUCCUGUUCCCUUGUGAUUAUUCGGAGAACAGAGAAGCCAUGUAAGGAUUAUGAGAGGCGCUUGCAAGAAGGAGUGAAGGCUAUUGACAGACUCCCCAGAGCAGAAGCCACGUGAAGAGGAAGUUCACUGACUUGGAGACUCUUGCGCCACCUGCUGGUAGCUGGGAGGAGAGAAGCCCAACCUGCCAGGUCUCUUGGGCGACCCGACCUGAGAAGAACCACACCAGGGAGAUAGGGCAUCCACCUGAUCAUGGAUAGGAAAAUGUAGAGAAUCCAGAGAGCUUGCUGUGAAGCAAUGCCAACCACACAGCAAAUGCUACUUCAAUUACAGUUUUCCAGUUGCCCCUUAGAGCUCGGCCAUGAAGUGGUGGACAUAGUUUCAGUGAAUUCAAACUGGAUUCUAGAACAUAUUUUGAAUACAGAGUAAAUGACACUUCUUUUCUAGCCAUGGAAGAAUGGCCUUCUUACCACAGGUUGUUGGACUAGCACAUCUAUUUCACUGGGCUGAACUGUAUCUGUGUUUUUUCUACAGUUCUGAUCUCAGCCUUGCCUGAUGGCUGGAGAAAGCUUACUUCCUUUUACUUUUCUUCUUGCAUUGAAGAUUAUUGUUUUCACCCUCUAAAAGGAAUGAAUGCAAUGAUAUCAACUUGUCCUGCAUUAGCACCACCACAGAGUUGGAGAGAAAUCUGCUCACUGGGCACUCAGCCAGGGACUGUUGGUAUGACUGUCUCUGACCCAGUGCUCUAGGAGGCACAAUCACCAUAGAUUAAUCAGGGCACUUUUUAUCAGUGUACCUUCAUCUGCCAAGUAACUAUAAACUCUUCAAGACUAAGGCUCUACUUCAUCUCAACAACAAGAGUAAAAGACAAAAUGAAAAAAAAAAACUAUAUUAAUUAUCAUACAGAAUGGAGAUCUCUUUAGUUAAUAAUAACUGACUUGUCUAUGAGCAUGGAACCGAUACACAUAAAAUCCCUGAAAAUAUUUGUCUCCUCCAGAUACUUUCAUGAUUUCUAAUUAUAACUAUGGUAGCUUUUGUAUUAUGUAACAAGUCUAUGAGUGUGUUGGUCAACUAUUCAUUACUUUAACAAAAUACCCAAGAUAAUUGGCUCAUAGGAGACAAAGGUUUAGUUUGGCUUACAGUCUUUGAGGUCAAAAUCAAUAACUGGUUGACAUGCUUCUGAGUACUUAGUGAGGUAUGUAACAUGGUGAAGUGCAUGUGUAGAGUGCAGCUACUUGCCUCAUGUCUAGAAUGUGAAAAAAAAAAAAA